AUGGGCCGAAUCGAACCGGAGAACUCACGGUCGAUUCGGCUUGUUUGUCUCGGCUCAUCAAUUGGACGGUCAGAAUGCUCCUACGACGUCCCUCACUGCCCGUUGGAUUUGGAAACCGCCCCCUUCGUCGCAUCAGCUCACACCUACAUCCCAUGCCGACCUGUCCCUCUAAUCAUCAUCAAGCGCCUCCGCCUGAAACCCUUCAAACAAAACCGAACGAGAAAUAGAUCAGAAGCACAAAAUUGAACUUGAAAACGAAGGUGCUUGGAUCGAUGAGUAGCAGCAGAGUGAAGAACUUCCGCCGCCGCUCCGAGGCGGAUGAUGCAAACGGCGAGGAGAAAUCCGCACCGAGUCCGGCCGCCACUAAGAGUCAAACCCUAAUUCAAACCAAAUCCAAGACCUCCAAACCGGAAGCCCCGAAGCGGCUUAGCUUCGCCGACGAUGAGGAGGAGGAGAACGACGAUCGCCCUGCCACCGUCCGUCGCCCCGCCCGGACCCCGGCCUCCUCCUCCGCCACUUUCCACAAGCAUACCUCCGCCAAGGACCGCUCGAAGGCCUCGCAUUUGGCUCCUCCCAUCCCUUCCAAUGUUCAACCGCAGGUCGGCGAGUAUACAAAGGAGCGGCUCCUUGAGCUCCAGAAGAACGCCAGGCCCCUGGGCAGCACGUCACGGCCACAGCGGCCGCAGGCAGCCGCAGAGCCCAAGUCGAAAAAACCUGAUCCCCCUGCUGAACCUGUUAUCGUUCUUAAAGGCCUCCUGAAACCAACCUCGACCACUGUUGUGCCUGGGAGAGACAGCGAGAAGGAUGUUGUGCCGAAACGGCAGGAGGAUGAGGAAGAAGAAGAGGAGGAAGAAGAUGAUCACAAUGGUGGUCCACUGACUGGGAUGAGGUUGCCGGUGAUACCUGAUCAGGCAACCAUAGAAGCUAUCAGGGCAAAGAGGCAGCAGCUUCAGCAACCACGUCAUGCUGCACCCGAUUACAUCUCUCUUGAUGGCGGGAUGCCAAGUAGCCACCCUUCUGCUGGCGCAUCAAGUGAUGAAGAGGACAAUGAUUUUCAAGAGAGGAUUGCUUUGUUUGGGGAUAAGGUGGAUGAUGGGUCGAAGAAGGGGGUUUUUGAGACUAUUGGGCAGAGGAUCAAUGCAGCAGAGGUGAGGUUUGUGGAUGGUGGACUCAGUAAAGUGCAUGACAAUGUGGAUGAUGAUGAAGAUGAGGAGGAGAGAAAAUGGGAGGAAGAGCAGUUCAGGAAGGGACUGGGAAGGAGAAUUGAUGAGGCUUCCACUCAGAGAGUCAAUUACAGCAUUCCAACCAUUCCUGCUAUCCAGCCACUGCCAACUGCCUACACUGGCGUCACCCAUCAACCCUCAGUGAGCAGCAUGUCAGCUUCAUUUGGUGUUUCACGUAGUGCAGAGGUUAUGUCAAUAUCUCAGCAGGCUGAGGUUGCAACACGAGCUCUGCAGGAGAGCAUCAGCAAACUUAAGGAAUCACACAAAAUGACGAUGAAUUCAUUGGUGAAAACAGAUACAAAUAUCACCGAAGCACUAUCUGAAAUUACCAAUCUUGAGAAGUCUUUGAAAGCUGCUGAUGAUAAGUAUGUAUUUAUGCAACAAUUCCGGGACUUUAUUUCGGUGAUGUGUGAUUUUUUGAAUGACAAGGCUUAUUUUAUUGAGGAACUGGAAGAGCAGAUGCAGAAGCUCCAUGAGAAGAGGGCAUUAGCUGUUGUUGAAAGAAGAGCUGCUGAUAUUUCUGAUGAUUCCAAUGAAGUGGAAGCUGCUGUGAAUGCAGCGAUUGCAGUUCUGAAUAAAGGCUCUGGAUCGGCUUACAUUGCUGCUGCUACAGCUGCAGCUCAGGCUGCCAAUGCUGCUGCUCAAGAAAGUGCAGAUUUACCUGUUGAACUGGAUGAGUUUGGCAGGGAUAUCAAUCUAAAAUUGCGCAUGGAUUUUGCACGGAGGGCAGAGUCCAGGAAAAGGAGGAAAGCUUGGGCUGAAUCCAAAAGAAUCACAUAUAUUGGUAAGGAUAAUGUUUCCCAGCAGAUUGAAGGAGAAUUAAGCACCGAUGAGAGUGAUUCUGAAAGCAAUGCAUAUAUUUCUAGCAGGAAUGAGUUGCUCCAAACUGCUGAAGAAAUUUUCAGUGAUGCAUCGGAAGAGUAUUCUAACCUUACGACUGUGAAGGAAAGGUUCGAAAGAUGGAAGAGCCAUUACCUUUCUAGUUAUCGAGAUGCUUAUGUCUCCCUAAGCAUACCCUCUUUGUUCUCUCCGUAUGUGAGAUUGGAGCUUUUGAAGUGGGAUCCUCUUUAUGAUGCGACAGACUUUUUUGACAUGGAGUGGCACAGACUUCUUUUUGAUUAUGGAUUGCCAGGAAAAGGUCAAGAUUUUGAACCUAAUGAUGCAGAUGCUAAUCUUAUUCCAGAAAUAGUUGAAAAGGUAGCGCUUCCUAUCUUGCAUCAUGAAAUUGCACACUGUUGGGACAUAUUGAGUACCCAAAGGACGAAAAAUGCAGUCUUUGCAACAAAUAUGGUCAUCAGCUAUGUUCCAGCUUCAAGCAAGCCUUUGCGUGAAUUGUUGACUGUUGUCCACAAUCGCUUGAAUGAGGCCAUCAGUAGCCUUAAUUUGCCAGUUUGGAGUAGUGUUGUGACAAAGGCUGUGCCAGGCGCUGCACAAAUUGUGGCAUAUAGGUUUGGUACAUCUGUUCGGCUUCUUAGAAAUAUUUGCCUGUGGAAAAAUAUUCUUUCCAUGCCAGUUUUAGAGAAUCUUGCCCUUGAAGAGCUUUUGGGAGGGAAGCUCCUGCCUCAUGUCAAAAGCAUCAUGCCCAAUAUUCAUGAUGCCAUCAUGAGGACAGAGAGAAUCGUAGCAUCACUUGUAGGGGUUUGGUCUGGUCCUGAGGUCACUUCACGACCCAGUCAGAAGCUGCAGCCCUUGGUUGAUUGCAUUGCAGAGUUAGGGGGCAAGUUGGAGAAAAGGCAUGCAUCAGGUGUGAGCGAGGAAGAGACUUGUGGGCUUGCUCGCCGUUUGAAGAAUAUGUUAGUGUCCUUGAAUGAGUAUGACAAAGCUAGAGCAAUUCUGAGAAUCUUUCAGCUCAAAGAAGCACUCUGAGAUUGUGGACGUUCUUGUACCUGUCAUCUCAAACAUCUUUGGAAGUGCAUGGAUGAGGUUUGCAUUUUAGAGAAAGCCUUCAACAAACAGAGCUAGUUGUGAGUCACAAAUUGGAGGUUCAUUGGACAGAAAAUCAAGAUUAUAACAGAUGACGGUGGCUGGUAUACUUCGAUAGGCAAAAGUCAACCGUGAUACAACAACAAUAACAAAACUGGUACAUCCACUUGAUGAAGGCCGAGAAAUUUGUGUUGAAUCCUGACCUCCUAAGUGCAAUUUGUGCCUCAUUUCUUUCAGUCUCUUUGGUACUAAUUUGAGAAAAUAUAUGUUGCGACCAUCAAGAACUAUGGAUUUCUAUAGCCUGGUAUUUUAAUCGAUUUAAUGAAGAUCAACUUGCUCCUUCAUGGGAUCAUCUGAAGACCGAGGAUCAUAGUUCACCGACAAAUUAUCAUCUUCAGAUUUGGUGCCAUUUUGCAGGUGGAGUUAUAUAAAAGUCUUUGUCAUGGUUGUGUGAUGGUGCCAACAGGGAUGUGCUUCAAAACAUAUAUUUUCUAUUCCAAAGACCAGCCCUAUUGUAUACAUUAAGGCACAUGCUUGUGAUAAUGGGUUUCACUUGUUGGGAUGGAUAUCAGGAAGCUGCAGGGGUAGAAAAAUAGUCUUUCUUCUGCACUUGUGCCUCUUGAUCUUGAGAUCCUCCCUAAUAUAUCAUUUCCAUGAUUAAUAGUUUCA